rnacentral:rRNA from 1 species
GCGGAAUAUUGGUCAAUGGGUGCAAGCCUGAACCAGCCAUCCCGCGUGAAGGACGACUGCCCUAUGGGUUGUAAACUUCUUUUGUAUAGGGAUAAACCUACCCUCGUGAGGGUGGCUGAAGGUACUAUACGAAUAAGCACCGGCUAACUCCGUGCCAGCAGCCGCGGUAAUACGGAGGGUGCAAGCGUUAUCCGGAUUUAUUGGGUUUAAAGGGUCCGUAGGCGGACUUAUAAGUCAGUGGUGAGAGCCUGUCGCUUAACGAUAGAACUGCCAUUGAUACUGUAAGUCUUGAGUAUAUUUGAGGUAGCUGGAAUAAGUAGUGUAGCGGUGAAAUGCAUAGAUAUUACUUAGAACACCAAUUGCGAAGGCAGGUUACCAAGAUAUAACUGACGCUGAGGGACGAAAGCGUGGGGAGCGAAC